GAUUAAAAACCAAUGCCCUCCGGGGCUUCACUGGUGAUUCAUGAUAACUUCUUCGAAUCGCAUGGCCUUGCGCCGGCGAUGGUUCAUUCAAAUUUCUUUCCCUAUCAACUUUCGAUGUUUGGGUAUUGGCCAAACAUGGUUGCAACGGGUAACGGAGGGUUAGGGCUCGACCCCGGAGAAGGAGCCUGAGAAACGGCUACUACAUCCAAAGAAGGCAGCAGGCGCGCAAAUUACCCAAUCCCGACUCGGGGAGGUAGUGACAAUAAAUACUGAUACAGGGCUCUUUUGGGUCUUGUAAUUGGAAUGAGUACAAUUUAAAUCCCUUAACGAGGAACAAUUGGAGGGCAAGUCUGGUGCCAGCAGCCGCGGUAAUUCCAGCUCCAAUAGCGUAUAUUAAAGUUGUUGUGGUUAAAAAGCUCGUAGUUGAACCUUGGGCCUGGCUGGCCGGUCCGCCUCAMCGCGUGUACUGGGUCCGGCCGGGCCUUUCCCUCCUGUGGAACCCCAUGCCCUUCACUGGGUKUKGC
rnacentral:rRNA from 1 species